rnacentral:lncRNA from 1 species
UGGGCUUCAAGGAGGCUGCCCUAGGCCAUACCAAGAAUUAGGAUUUAUUUUUUAAAGUCAUUCGAGCUUUCAAGGCUAAAGUUAGUAAGUUUAGGAUUUUAGCUAUAAUUUGGGUGAAGAAUUUGUAUGAUUUCGAGUUUUAAUGAAGGAGAUAUAGGUGUUUAAAGUUAAGGUGUCAAAUUUGUACCUACUAUCACUCUUUGAAGCAUAACAUAUGUGUACGGAGAGCAAUGAAAGAUUGA